rnacentral:rRNA from 1 species
UACGUAGGAGGCAAGCGUUGUCCGGAAUUACUGGGCGUAAAGCGCGUGUAGGUGGUGGGACAAGUCUGCUGUGAAAGCGCCUGGCUUAACCGGGCGAGGUCGGCGGAAACUGUCCGACUAGAGGACGGUAGAGGGGGGUGGAAUUCCCGGUGUAGCGGUGAAAUGCGCAGAUAUCGGGAGGAACACCGGUGGCGAAGGCGGUUCUCUGGGCCUUACCUGACGCUGAGGAGCGAAAGCGUGGGGAGCGAACAGG